rnacentral:rRNA from 1 species
GAUGAACGCUAGCUACAGGCUUAACACAUGCAAGUCGAGGGGAAACGGGGAAGCAGCUUGCUGCUUUCUGUCGUCGACCGGCGCGCGGGUGAGUAACGCGUAUCCAACCUUCCCAUAACUAAGGAAUACCCCGUAGAAAUGCGGCCUAAUCCCUUAUGGUCUCUUAUGCCUGUCAUGGGAAUAAGAGUAAAGAUUUAUCGGUUAUGGAUGGGGAUGCGUCUGAUUAGCUUGCUGGCGGGGUAACGGCCCACCAGGGCAUCGAUCAGUAGGGGUUUGAGAGGAAGGUCCCCCACAUUGGAACUGAGACACGGUCCAAACUCCUACGGAGGCAGCAGUGAGGAAUAUUGGUCAAUGGGCGCAAGCCUGAACCAGCCAAGUAGCGUGCAGGAUGACGGCCCUAUGGGUUGUAAACCGCUUUUUAAGGGGAAUAAAGAGGGACACGCGUGUCCUGUUGCAUGUACCCUUGGAAUAAGGACCGGCUAAUUCCGUGCCAGCAGCCGCGGUAAUACGGAAGGUCCAGGUGUUAUCCGGAUUUAUUGGGUUUAAAGGGAGCGUAGGCCGCAGGUUAAGUGUGUUGUGAAAAGCAGUCGCCCAACGUCUGCCUUGCAGCGCAAACUGUCCUGCUUGAGUGCGCACAACGCAGGCGGAAUUCGUCGUGUAGCGGUGAAAUGCUUAGAUAUGACGAAGAACUCCGAUUGCGAAGGCAGCUUGCGGGAGCGCAACUGACGCUGAAGCUCGAAGGUGCGGGUAUCGAACAGGAUUAGAUACCCUGGUAGUCCGCACGGUAAACGCUGGAUGCCCGUUUUUGGCUUAUUUUAAGUCAGAGACCAAGCGAAAGCAUUAAGCAUCCCACCUGGGGAGUACGCCGGCAACGGUGAAACUCAAAGGAAUUGACGGGGGCCCGCACAAGUGGAGGAACAUGUGGUUUAAUUCGAUGAUACGCGAGGAACCUUACCCGGGCUUGAAUUGCCAGAGACAGCUCCAGAGAUGGAGCUUC